rnacentral:misc_RNA from 1 species
GAUGAAGAACGCAGCGAAAUGCGAUAAGUAAUGUGAAUUGCAGAAUUCCGUGAAUCAUCGAAUCUUUGAACGCACAUUGCGCCCCUUGGUAUUCCGAGGGGCAUGCCUGUUCGAGCGUCAUUAUAACCCCUCAAGCUCAGCUUGGUGUUGGGGCCUGCCGCACGGGCAGCCCUUAAAAUCAGUGGCGGUGCCAUCUGGCUCUAAGCGUAGUAAUUCUUCUCGCUAUAGAGUCCCGGUGGAUGCUUGCCAUUAACCCCCAAUUUUCUAUGGUUGACCUCGGAUCAGGUAGGGAUACCCGCUGAACUUAAGCAUAUCAAUAAGCGGAGGA